rnacentral:rRNA from 1 species
CAGUUCGGAUUGCAGGCUGCAACCCGCCUGCAUGAAGUUGGAAUUGCUAGUAAUCGCGGAUCAGCAUGCCGCGGUGAAUACGUUCCCUGGCCUUGUACACACCGCCCGUCACACCAUGGGAGCCGGUAAUACCCGAAGUCAGUAGCCUAACCGCAAGGGGGGCGCUGCCGAAGGUAGGAUUGGCGACUGGGGUGAAGUCGUAACAAGGUAAC